AACCUUACCUUGGACUUGGUAGGGAGAAUUUCGUUUCCCUUUAUGUCUUUGGUGAGUUCUGUCCUGUUGUCGUGGCUUCACGUGUCCCUUCAAAGCAGCCUGCACCAGACCUGUGGCACGACUUGAUGUUGGUGAUGUAAGAUGAACCUUUGAUGGUGGAUGUCGUGCUUGUGACCGACUACUGCUUGGUGACGAGAUUGCGUCAAGUUUGCU